UGAUAGCGUGGAAGCGGAGGUUGCUACUGAUCUGCGAAUAUACGCGGCAGUAGGUUAUUUCGUGGAGCGAAUGUCAAGUUCAGAGAAACUGGCGACAA
rnacentral:ncRNA from 1 species